GCUUCUGUAGUAUAACGGUCAGUACAACAGUUUGUGGCACUGUAGAUCCAGGUUCGAUUCCUGGCAGGGGCA
rnacentral:tRNA from 3 species